UUGCUUGCCCUACUUGGAGUCACCACAGGAGGGCACUCUAGACUAAUAGGAUUUAAGUGAGACAAAGCAGAGUAAGAGCAAUUCACGUUUGUUCACGAGCUAACAGGUACAGCUCGGAAGAAUGCCUUGAGCUUUUAGUGUCCCUUCGGCAAGCAGAGCGAGUUUUACGGUGCUUUGGUGCUUUUGGUGCCUUUGGUCUUUUGAUGCUUCUCUGUAUACAACAAAGAACUGAGACGAUGAUUUAUGUGAUGAACUUUAUUGCAUCCAAGUAAACCUUUUUAAAUGCA